CCAGACCCCAUUGAGUAGUGGGGCCGCCAUAUCGGUGCAGUGCAAUCAUGCCGUUCAACAGUGAGCAUAAGAAUCAAAGAGAAGCAGGCACUUGCAGAAGUUUGACUGCUUUGUGCGACCAUACUGCCUCUCACAGUGCAGACAGCGUAGCCAAGGACAUUGGCACCAUUAGACGUGCCUGUGGGAGACAGAAGGGGUGGCUUCCAGCGGACCUGUAGGACCCCGGGUGCCUGCCCACAGAGCACCUGUACAUCUUGCGGAGGCAAGGGAGGGCCUGAAAGUAAAUGGAACAACAUUUGGUUAUUGGACUGCCUGGAAGGCAAUGCGGCCAACAAGCUGCGACAAUACAGGACCG